UUGGUUUAAAUCAAUGUGGGUCUACACUUUAGAAAUAGAACUCAUACAAAAUAGUAGAACAUAUAUUUGUUUAAUCCAA
rnacentral:pre_miRNA from 1 species